rnacentral:rRNA from 1 species
GAUGAACGCUAGCGGGAGGCUUAAACAUGCAAGUCGAGGGGCAUCACGAGGUAGCAAUACUUUGGUAGGCGACCGGCGCACGGGUGAGUAACACGUAUGCAACCUUCCCUGUACAGGGGGAUAACCCGGAGAAAUUCGGACUAAUACCCCAUGAUGAUAUUAUGGGGCAUCCUUUAAGUAUUUAAAGCUCUGGCGGUACAGGAUGGGCAUGCGCGACAUUAGCUAGUUGGUAAGGUAACGGCUUACCAAGGCGACGAUGUUUAGGGGACCUGAGAGGGUUGUCCCCCACACUGGUACUGAGACACGGACCAGACUCCUACGGGAGGCAGCAGUGAGGAAUAUUGGUCAAUGGGCGCAAGCCUGAACCAGCCAUCCCGCGUGAAGGAAGAAUGCGCUACGCGUUGUAAACUUCUUUUCCAGGGGGAGAAUAAUCCUGUCGUGACAGGACUUGACGGUACUCUGGGAAUAAGCAUCGGCUAACUCCGUG